AUGGGAGCUGAUAGUUAUCUUUCUCCUAUGCAGGAUUAUGUAAAUGCCAACUUUUGGAGUUUGUGCCCUUUUGGUUUAGUCAUCAAGACACUAGCUAGCGAUUAUGUAAAGAGAGAAAUGAACUGUUAA
rnacentral:rRNA from 1 species